AGAUGGAGCUAGAGAUUUUUUAGAGAAGAAGGAUUAAGAAAAGUCAAGAGUUUGUAGCAAUUGAGAGGUGGAAUGUUAAAUCCCAUUUCUCUUUGGCUUUUAUUGUUAUAUAUACUUGAUUUAAAUUCUCAUAUCAUUAGGUUUCUGAAAAUUAUACGUGUAGUUUUGUGCAUCCGGUUGAUGAUCAGCCUCUAAAUAUUGAUAGAUAACAUGAUUGGAUAUAUAUGGUUAAAAUUUUAAGUUAAUCCACCGUAAAUUCACCGUCGAAUAUUUGUAUGAAGCCGGAUGAUAGUUUCUGAAAUUCUGCUCAGUUUUGCUUUGGUCAUAGUUUUGGAUAUCUUAGUCACUCCGAGUUCGGAUCUCCAUUUGGGUUUGACCGUGGUCCGGAACUCGGGAUGUUACAAGAAGUGUGUGGCAAGAUUGAGAAGAAGGACGUUGAACUUAAUUUGCAAUCUGAGAACUCCUUGAAAAACCAAAUUAUCCAUAUUUCUCGCCAAAAGGAAGGGCAUAUUCAAGAGAUUAAGUCUUUGAAGGAGUAUUUGAAUGAGACCAACGAGGAUCUGUAGAAAAUGGAUAAAGAUACCAAGAAGAUCGCCAAAAUGGAUCAGCGAAACGCCAACAUUUCCAAACAGAAGUUCGUUGAUAAAAUUUGCAACCGGCAUGGCCUGCCUCGUGAAAUUCUUGAAUUCGACCCAAUAUCUGAUGAUGACAAGCAUGGGGAUGAAGCUAUUGGGACUGAUGCCUAAGAUGGUGGCGAAGAUGACGAAGAAACUGAUGAUGACAUAUUCACUGCUGAUCCUAUCAAUCCCUUGGAUAAAUCGUAUGCUCUUACGGGUACUUCUGUGAAAAAAGAUAGUUCUUCUCAUGACCGGGAUGCUUCUAAGGAACAACGUCCUAAUGAUGCUGAAGAUGAUCUCCCUGUAAAUCAAUUUCUCAAUCAUAAUUGAUUUCACUUUAUCAAGCUGAACUUAUUUCUUUCCUUAACAUUUACAGGGCGCUCCCAAUCUUGGGAGGGAUGUUUUAGGUUGACCUUUAUUCUUAUUUUUUUUAUCUUGCUUUUAUCACCUGCACGUUUUAUGAAGGCACUCUACUAUAUUUUGUAAUAGCAUAGUUAGUGUUA